UAGAGUUUGAUUCCUGGCUCAGGACGAACGCUGGCGGCGUGCUUAACACAUGCAAGUCGAACGGUAAGGCCCUUUCGGGGGUACACGAGUGGCGAACGGGUGAGUAACACGUGGGUAAUCUGCCCUGCACUUCGGGAUAAGCCUGGGAAACCGGGUCUAAUACCGGAUAUGAGCUCCUGCCGCAUGGUGGGGGUUGGAAAGUUUUUCGGUGCAGGAUGAGUCCGCGGCCUAUCAGCUUGUUGGUGGGGUAAUGGCCUACCAAGGCGACGACGGGUAGCCGGCCUGAGAGGGUGAUCGGCCACACUGGGACUGAGACACGGCCCAGACUCCUACGGGAGGCAGCAGUGGGGAAUAUUGCACAAUGGGCGAAAGCCUGAUGCAGCGACGCCGCGUGGGGGAUGACGGUCUUCGGAUUGUAAACUCCUUUCAGUAGGGACGAAGCGAAAGUGACGUACCGCAGAAGAGCC
rnacentral:rRNA from 1 species